rnacentral:rRNA from 1 species
CAAUAGCGUAUAUUAAAGCUGUUGCGGUUAAAAAGCUCGUAGUUGGAUUUCUACCGAAGAUAGCCGGUCGGGUCUUCGACCUUGUAUCUGGUUUUGUCUUUGGUAUCCUCAUAGGGAACGUUUCUGCGCUUUAUUGCGUGGUGCGGUAUCUAUGACUUUUACUUUGAGGAAAUUAGAGUGUUCACGGCAGGCAAACGCCUUGAAUAUAUUAGCAUGGAAUAAUAACAUAGGAUCUUCGUCCUAUUUUGUUGGUUUCUAGGGCUAAGAUAAUGAUUAAUAGGGAUAAUUGGGGGCAUCUGUAUCAACGCGUCAGAGGUGGAAUUCUUGGAUUGCGUUGCGACAAACUACUGCGAAAGCAUUUGCCAAGGAUGUUUUCAUUGA